UACGGAGGGUGCGAGCGUUGUCCGGAAUCAUUGGGCGUAAAGGGCGCGUAGGCGGCCUGGUCAGUCGGAUGUGAAAGCCCGGGGCUCAACCCCGGAACGGCAUCCGAGACGGCCAGGCUGGAGACCGGGAGAGGAGAGUGGAAUAGCCAGUGUAGAGGUGAAAUUCGUAGAUAUUGGCUGGAACACCGGUGGCGAAAGCGGCUCUCUGGCCCGGUUCUGACGCUGAGGCGCGAAAGCCAGGGGAGCAAACGGG
rnacentral:rRNA from 1 species